AAUAAGUACAAUCAUGAGUUUCCGCGUCCAACUUUGAUCGUCCGUCUUAUUUAAAAUUUUUUUAUAAUUAGCAAUUUUGUUGUUAUAAGAUGAUAAAACAUGAAUAGUACUUUACUCGUGACUUAUGUUUUUAAUUUUUUUCAAAAAUUUUCCAAAUAAGACGAAUGAUCAAAGUUGAGCGCUGAAAACUAUAGCUGCACUUAUU
rfam:Oryza glaberrima chromosome 5 Oglab05_0135_2, whole genome shotgun sequence.